GGUGUCACAGUGAGCUCCAGGAGCCAAAGAGAGGACGCUUGCCGAGUAGGUGGGCAGAGAUGGAUGGAUAGAUAAGGUGAAGGGAGGAAGCAGCUGAAGAGGGAACUCAAGAAUGGAAUCCGGUCACUGCCGACCAAAGUCCACAGAAACAAAGGAUCCGUACACACCUUAGCAGAGUCAGAAGAGCACCUUGGUUCAGAGCAGCUGAGGUCCCUGGAAGGGAGCUCAUUUAUGCCACUCCCACCAGAUGAAUGAAAGAAGAGAAAUAAAAUGGAAGGACACGGCUGUUCCCAGGCGGCAGCAUCUUUGCUAUACAAACAAAGCUCUCACCUGUUACAGACAUGGAGUUGGAUAAUUACGAAAAUGAAAACUUUUAAUAUUUCCCUAGGAUGUUCAGCAGAUUCUUUUUCUCCAAUGUCUGUUUUCUUCCACUGCGGGCCUGAACGUGGUGGUCACAGAAUUCUUGGCAAGAGUGAAAUGUCCUGAACACGGACCACUCGGAGAGGCUUGAGCGAUGGAGCCAUGAUGGCUGUGCACGGUCGUCUGCAGCUUCCUCCCCACCAACACGACUUCCUGCUCACCCAGGACAAACUCUGGCUGCUGCUGCUGCUGGGUUGGCAAUGCUUCUUGCCCGGGGCAGGGCAUUGCUGAGCUAGGCUUCAGAUCCAGGCGAGCCUAUUGUACUCUUGUGUUUCAUGCGCACACUCACUGUGUCCUUCCUUCCCUCUCUCUGCAUAGGACAAAAGGGUGGAGGACGAGACAGGCACAGGGGCCCAGAACCAGACAGCAUAAGCAAAUACUACAGAAUGGCAGGUAUAAAAAUCAAGAAAUUCAGAGUCCAAGAGAAGGCUGUAAGGGAUUGCUGUCGCAGAUCACGGGGGUGUGGAGAGGCAGACGGUUCUAACCUGAGUGUAAGAAAGGCUGGCUGGCAGUUGAACAGGAGCCCAGAGGAGUGACACACUCCAAUGAGCCCGCAGCGGAUUGCCUGGUACCAGAUGCUUCUAUUCUCUUCUCACAGGGCUCAUGCCAGGCCUUGGUGAGUCUGGCUGAAAGCCCCUCAAGUGAGAAAUACUGGAAGCAGCUGACGGCCAGUGUCUGUGGGCGCCCGGAGCAGCCCCUCUGUUCUGGCAAAGAUAUUCCCCUGACAGGUGGCAGGGGGGAGCCCGUUCCCAAUCCAGCCACACAGGAGGAUAGACAGCUAAAAGGAAAAAAAUAAGCUCUACGCUCUCCCUCCAGAAGCUCCCCAUGCUGUGGAGAGCAGCUGCUGACUCCGAGUCCAGGAAGGGCCAGGCAGGCUCCUGAGUGAUGUCAGCAGCCAGCUCAGCAAGGUGGCGGAGUCCCCAUCUAUACAGAGUUCUUAGUUUCCAGGAAUGGUCAGCAGGGUGACCCAAACAGUGUGAUUGGAAAUCUCUGGGAUCAAAUACUCAGCACACAUUUCCUUGUCUGAUCCUCACAUGCAUCCCGAGCAUGUCCAGCAGUCUGGGUGAAGUCAUCACAUGCAUCCCGAGCAUGCCCAGCAGUCCAGGUGAGGUCAUCACAUGCAUCCCGAGCAUGCCCAGCAGUCCAGGUGAGGUCAUCACAUGCAUCCCGAGCAUGCCCAGCAGUCCAGGUGAGGAGAUGGUGGUUCAAGGUGAGGAGCAACUGGGCUUUGCUGAGCAUCAUGCUGGACCACCUAGCAAGUAAUUCGGGGCUUUUCUUAAGUAGAACUAUUUUGUUUCAUUUUUGUCUAUUAUUUUAAAUCUUUUACACAAUAUGAUUUAAAUUUUAUGCUAUGAAACACAACCUUGAUCCAAUAUUCGUUAAUGACUUCUCCCACUGAACUCUGAAAUAGCUAAAGGGCAUAAGUGAAUUUCAGAGAAACUGUCUCAGCUGUGAACGUAAUGCUCUGAUCUUAGGCCGGGGGUUGUAGGAACCUCUAGACAAGAUAUAAGUUAGCACCACACAGGAAAUCUGUGAAAGACUUUUGCCCCAUAUUACAGAUUGGAAUUCGCCCACGUGGCACAUUCGGCCCUUUGGUAGGACAAGGGUUAGAAAACUUCUCCUGAGACGAGCGUUCUUCACAAGGUCCCCUUGGAGCUUCAUCGCCAAUAGUGCACACAUUCAUCUUUAGGAAGUCACCUGCAUGGAAGUUGGUUAGAGGGUGCACAGCAUUAGCAGUGGCUUGUUUGAUAUGCAUUUUUUUAAAAACAACUAACCCUCAAGGAGCCUCCAAAGAAAGGCACAGAGCCUGGGGUGCCUAAAAGAAAUUUACUUGCUGAACUGCAUGGCCUUCGUUUUCAAAUGAGCUCCUCUAACAAGCCCAGAAGCUCCACACAACUCCAGGAAAAGACCCUGAAAAUUCCUUCCCAUCAUUCUAAUGGGUUGCAGAUGGGCCAGGAAGCUUCCUGCCAUUUUUUAUUGUUAGUUCGCUUCCUUUCUUCUGUCUGGAAUUUUAUGAGUUGCUUUUCUUAUUAACCUCCAGGAUGCCUGCAUCAACCCACUGAGUCACUCCAGGGUGGUAGAUGGGCUCUCUCCUCAGCCAGCAUAUGUCUGUUAGCCAUGUCCAGCAAGACGAACACAAAAUGUAUUUCUGUAAAGAUAUUAAACUCACUUGAACAGCUGUCUUCAUCCAACUCUUGGGGGUCUGGGACAUUACAGGAGGAAUCUCAAGAUCAAGGCUAGCCUGGAGAUGAAGCAAAACCUUCUCUCAGAGAAACAAAAGAAAGGAAAUCCUCUAUCCCUGUGAACUUGUCAGGGCCUCAGGUUUCACUCAGCAAGGAGCACUAGAAGUUUGCCAGGGCCAUCUCAGUGUACCCAGGGUGAGGAACUGGAGCCAUUUCUUUCAUCCAGGUGUCUGUCAUUGUCACUGACAGGAAUUAGUGAGCGUGUCACUUGUCUGAAUGGAGGCCUGCUGCCCUGAAGCCACUUGUUGGAUGGAAAUGGGGAAAGAAUGCCUUGUUUUAGUGGGCAAACUCUACCAAGUGGUUUCACACUGGGACAUGGGAAUUGGAACAAUUUGGAACCUUGUCCCCAGGCCAUGGCCACUGACAUUGGGCUCAAGAAUAAACUCUCUUAUGCCCUCUAGAGUAAGAACUACAUUUUCGGUUGGCCAAGGUCAUCAGUGGGUCAUUCAGGGGGCUCACUAUGACCUGAAUUUGGGGCUCAAACUGCAGUGUAUUAUAACUCCUUGAUUUAUUGACUAGAUGAAUAAUGAGGUGUUUGAAUCAACCUUGCUAUUGAGUUUCAGAGCACAGCUUCCCAUCCAUCCACAUGAUCAAGGCACUGAGAUGUUUCUAUAGGCAGGGCUCCAUCAGCUCAUCUGGGCAUUACAGAGACCCAUCCUCAAGGUGUACUGACACCUGCCCUGUUUGCAGGAAUCCUCUUCUUGGAAGCAAUUGGGCCCUGCCAUGAAGAAAGAGUGUCCUUGGCACCGUGUUCCACCUACCAUCCAUGGCCAUGGAGAGUGCCUGAGUAACGAGCUUCCCGUGAAUACUCCGAGAACUGAGAGUACCACAGCGAAUACUGUGAGAUGACAAGUACUCGUCAUGGUGAGGGCACACCGAGUGGACAACUUGCAGUUGGAAGCUUUAGAUCCAGAAGUCCUGGAUUCAAAUCCUACCUCUAGCAUUCAGUGUACAAAACAGCAGCCUACAGAAUGGGAAAAGAUCUUCACUAAUCCCACAUCAGACAGAGGUCUGAUCUCCAAAAUAUACAAAGAACUCAAGAAACUUGACAUCAAAGAAAAAAAAUAAUAAUCCAAUAAAAAAUGGAGUACAGACCUAAAUAGAGAAUUCUCAACAGAGGAAUCUAAAAUGGCUGAAAGACACUUAAGGAAAUGUUCAACAUCCUUAGUCAUCAGAGAAAUGCAAAUUAAAACAACUCUGAGGUUCUAUCUUACACCUGUAAGAAUGGCCAAGGUUAAAAACACUGAUGACAACUUGUGCUGGAGAGGUUGUGGGGUAAAGAGAACAGUCAUGCAUUGCUGGUGGGAGUGCAAGCUGGUAUAGCCCCUUUGGAUAUCAGUGUGGUGAUUUCUCAGAAAAUUAGGAAACAACCUUCUUCAAGAUCCAACAAUACCACUUUUGGGUAUAUAUUCAAAGGAUGCUCAAUUGUGCCACAAGGAUAUGUGCUCAGCUAUGUUCAUAACAGCAUUGUUUGUCAUAUCCAUAACCUGGAAACAACCUAAAUGCUCCUUGACUGAAGAAUGGAUAAGGAAAACGUGGUACAUUUACACAAUGGAGUACUACACAGCAGAAAAAAAAAUAACGACAUCUUAAAAUUUGCAGGCAAAUGGAUGGAGCUAGAAAACAUCAUUUUGAGUGAGGUAACCCAGACACAGAAAGACAAUUAUCAUAUGUAUUCACUCAUAAGUGGCUUUUAAACAUAAAGCAAAGAAAACCAGCCUACAAACCACACCCCCAGAGAACUUAGACAACAAUGAGGACUCUAAAAGAGACAUGCAUAGAUCUAAUCUACAUGGGAAGUAGAAAAAGAGAAGAUCUCCUGAGUAAAUUGGGAACAUGGGGACCUUGAGGGAGGGUUGAAGGAGAAGAGAGAGGCAGGGAGGGGAGCAGAGA